rnacentral:tRNA from 1 species
GGCUAUAGUAGUCUAAGAAAGACAUCAGACUGCAAUUCUGAAGAUGUAUUUAAGUUAUCUUAGCUU